UACGGAGGGCGCAAGCGUUGUUCGGAAUCACUGGGCGUAAAGCGCGUGUAGGCGGCUUGGUAAGUCGGGUGUGAAAGCCCGGAGCUCAACUCCGGAACUGCAUUCAAAACUACCUCGCUCGAGUCCCGGAGAGGGUGGUGGAAUUCCCGGUGUAGAGGUGAAAUUCGUAGAUAUCGGGAGGGACACCAGUGGCGAAGGCGGCCACCUGGACGGUGACUGACGCUGAGACGCGAAAGCGUGGGGAGCAAACAGG
rnacentral:rRNA from 1 species